CAGCAGCCGCGUAAUACAGAGGAUGCAAGCGUUAUCCGGAAUGAUAGGGCGUAAAGCGUCUGUAGGUGGCUUUUCAAGUCCGCCGUCAAAUCCCAGGGCUCAACCCUGGACAGGUGGUGGAAACUACCAAGUUGGAGUACGGUAGGGGCAGAGGGAAUUUCCGGUGGAGCAGUGAAAUGCGUUGAGAUCGGAAAGAACACCAACGGCGAAAGCACUCUGCUGGGCCGACACUGACACUGAGAGACGAAAGCUAGGGGAGCAAAUGGGAUUAGAUACCCCCGUAGUCCCUGUCUCUUAUACA
rnacentral:rRNA from 1 species